AAAAAAAAAAAAGGAUGAUAAACACGCCGUGGUUUCAGGACACGACUGAAAAAUCCCAUCUCUGCACUUGUAAAGAGCCGCUUCGCGCUGAGUGCUUUCUGGAAAGUGAAGGCACUCUCGGCAGAGUGAUGGCACAGCAAGGCCUCCCAGCAGCCAAGGUCCCUGUCCCCAAGGCGCUGCCACAGGGGACAGGCACAAGCGUAACCAGUGCACGAGCCAGCUCUGCGCAUGAGAAAAUCAGCCUAAACAUUAACAGGCAACGGGCAAGGAGCAGGAUUUGAGUCAGCUCACGAGCAGGUGGCUGAGGCACUGCCUGCUCAAAGAAAGGAAAUUCGGUUACUUCGUGCUUCCUUUCCGAAACACAUUGUGUGCAUUAGGACUGCAGAGCGCUGAGCGGCCGUUUCCGUAACAUCCCGUGCACUCAAUUCCCUGGGCGAGGGCCCGGUGGCCCUGCGCUGCUUUCUGCAAUUCACCAGAUGCUCCAAAAAGAAAGCGGAAGAGGUGUCCUCUGUGCCUGGCAGGGCACGGUGCCGGUCGGAGUGCGCUGCGGCAGCCCCGGAGCUCCCCACACACGGGAGCCAUGAGGAUGGGAAAAAAUUCCCACUGCUUCAGCACAAGCCAGCAGGCAUUUGUGUACAGAAAAUAAAGAGGGGAUAGUGUAAACACAGCCAAAAUACUGAUUUCAGGUGGUCAAGAUGCCUUUAAAGAUUGGAAUUCUGCGUUCCAAAUUCAAACGCCAUUUACACCAUGCAGAACCAGCGCAGAAGGAGGGGCUGAGCGCCAGCAACCACCCUACUGUUAGCCCCAGCAGGGCUGAGCUGGCCCCAAGUAGUGGCUUCUUUCAGCAGCACCUCACUCAGCCUGUCCCCUCUGAACCUUCUGCUUCCCUGGGGACAGAUACCAGAGGCUGAGGAUAGGCAGGCCAGGGGUGCAAAGACACAAUGGUGGGGCUGCGCCGCAGCCGAGGAUGGCAGCAAAGUGUAACCAAACGUGGCCUCGGCGCACCCUGGCUCAUCUCCCCACCUUUUCAAGAAGCUCAGCUCAGGCUCACGUCUGAAUUAUUUGUUGUCAUCAAACUCACAUAACUCAGUAUAAGCAACAGCUCUUUCAAGUGCAGUGUGUUUGCACUGAGCAGCAGGAAGAAACAUCCCAAAGUCUGAAAUAGAUGCGUAAACGUUUCUGUCUGCUCCCUAAUGCUCGUGUCUCCAGGUGUGAACUCACCGCUUGUUUGUCAUGGACUGUUU